GAUGAAGAACGUAGCGAAAUGCGAUAAGUAAUGUGAAUUGCAGAAUUCAGUGAAUCAUCGAAUCUUUGAACGCACAUUGCGCCCGCCAGUAUUCUGGCGGGCAUGCCUGUUCGAGCGUCAUUUCAACCCUCAAGCCCAGCUUGGUGUUGGGGAUCGGCACAGGCGCCCUCGGGCGCCCGCCGUCCCCUAAAUCUAGUGGCGGUCCCGCUGCAGCCUCCUCUGCGUAGUAAUUUUCUCCUCGCAAGGGCAGCUCGGUGGCGACCUCGCCGUAAAACCCCCAACUUCUGAAAGGUUGACCUCGAAUCAGGUAGGAAUACCCGCUGAACUUAAGCAUAUCAAUAAGCGGAGGA
rnacentral:misc_RNA from 1 species